rnacentral:rRNA from 1 species
UAGGGAAUCUUCCGCAAUGGACGAAAGUCUGACGGAGCAACGCCGCGUGUGUGAAGAAGGUCUUCGGAUCGUAAAGCACUGUUAUUAGAGAAGAACAACCGGUAGAGUAACUGUUACCGGCUUGACGGUAUCUAACCAGAAAGCCACGGCUAACUACGUGCCAGCAGCCGCGGUAAUACGUAGGUGGCAAGCGUUGUCCGGAUUUAUUGGGCGUAAAGGGAGCGCAGGUGGUGAUUUAAGUCUGAUGUGAAAGCCCACGGCUCAACCGUGGAAGGUCAUUGGAAACUGGAUCACUUGAGUGCAGAAGAGGAAAGUGGAAUUCCAUGUGUAGCGGUGAAAUGCGUAGAUAUAUGGAGGAACACCAGUGGCGAAGGCGACUUUCUGGUCUGUAACUGACACUGAGGCUCGAAAGCGUGGGGAGCAAACAGG